rnacentral:lncRNA from 1 species
GCUUCUUAAAGAUCUUUCCAUUUGAUUGCAAAAAAAUAACAAUAAUAACAACAAAGAAAAUUAAUAUUAUAUGGUUAAAGGCUUAAAGUCCCAAUCCCCUAAACAUGCUUAUGCCUACAUUUACCUUUUCAAGAACCAUAUUUCGAAGCUCCAGCAGCAUUUUCACUUCCAACAAUUGAAGCUUCAGCAUUUCCACUAACAUUUGAAGCUUCAGCAUCUCCUCCAGCAUCUCCCCCAUUCCCAGCAUCUCCUUCAUUCUCAACAUGUUUUUUGGUCAGCAUAUUCCAGUAUAAGAUCUUGUAAAUGUGUGAACUUUAUUAUAUCCUGAGCCAUACCUUUGAGCUACGGAUUAGUUUCCGCAGCAACUUCACUAAGUAAAUACAGUUUUUUCUCAUUGCAAGUGCCUCCACCUCCUCAAUUUUUGAGUCCUUUAGCCAGUGUUUAAGUUUAGGAAAGGACAAGGUUAGGAAAUUCAGAAGUGUUGUGGCAAGACCGGUGAUAAUUUAGAUAAACAGCCUCUUCACGAGUUCUGAAACAUACUCCCAUAAUUUCUCGGCAUUACAUUUUUCUUAAAAUAUUUGGAAAUCCAUUUCGUUAUAAGUUAUAACGCACAGAAGUUUCCGAAUAGAAGUGAGACGAGAUUUUAGUAUCGUAUCUGACAGAGACGGAUUUAGAUCUGUGUCGGGUGGAGUUUGAUUUUUCUAUUUCAAUGGUGGCGGAGGCUGAAGGGUUUGGUGGCUUAAUCAAUUCAAUACGUCACCUUUCAUGAUGUAGCUUUAUUAUAUUG